rnacentral:rRNA from 1 species
CCUACGGGUGGCUGCAGUGAGGAAUAUUGGUCAAUGGUCGCAAGCCUGAACCAGCCAAGUAGCGUGCAGGAUGACGGCCCUAUGGGUUGUAAACUGCUUUUACACGGGGAUAAAAUCCUUCACGUGUGGUGGUCUGCAGGUACCGCGUGAAUAAGGACCGGCUAAUUCCGUGCCAGCAGCCGCGGUAAUACGGAAGGUCCGGGCGUUAUCCGGAUUUAUUGGGUUUAAAGGGAGCGUAGGCCGCAUGUCAAGCGUGCUGUGAAAUGCCCGGGCUCAACCCGGGCCCUGCAGCGCGAACUGGCGUGCUUGAGUCCGCGGAAAGCAGGCGGAAUUCGUGGUGUAGCGGUGAAAUGCUUAGAUAUGACGAAGAACUCCGAUUGCGAAGGCAGCAUGCGGCAGCGGAACUGACGCUGAUGCUCGAAGGCGCGGGUAUCGAACAGGAUUAGAUACCCUGGUAGUC